GUGAUCGUAGCUCAGUUGGAAGAGUUCUGGAUUGUGGAUCCAGAUGUCAUGGGUUCGAAUCCCAUCGAUCACC
rnacentral:tRNA from 1 species